ACACGACUACAUUAGAUACCCCUGUAGUCCUAGCCGUAAACGAUACUCGCUAGGUGUCGGCCACGGUGCGACCGUUGUCGGUGCCGUAGGGAAGCCGUGAAGCGAGCCACCUGGGAAGUACGGCCGCAAGGCUGAAACUUAAAGGAAUUGGCGGGGGAGGCACCACAACGGGUGGAGCUUGCGGUUUAAUUGGAUUCAACGCCGGAAAUCUUACCGGGACCGACAGCAACAUGAAGGCCAGGCUGAAGACUUUGCCGGAUUAGCUG
rnacentral:rRNA from 1 species